UACGUAGGGGGCAAGCGUUGGUCCGGAUUUAUUGGGCGUAAAGAGCGUGUAGGCGGUCAGGUAGGUCCGUUGUGAAAACUCGAGGCUCAACCUCGAGACGCCGAUGGAAACCAUCUGACUAGAGUCCGGAAGAGGAGAGUGGAAUUCCGUGGUGUAGCGGUGAAAUGCGCAGAUAUCAGGAGGAACACCAAUGGCAAGGCAGCUCGC
rnacentral:rRNA from 1 species